rnacentral:rRNA from 1 species
GGCUAACGCUGGCGGCGUGUCUUAGCCAUGCAAGUCGAGCGGACUUAUGGGGUAACUUAUAAGUCAGCGGCGGACGGCGGAGUAACACGUAGCUAACCUACCCUCUGGACGGGGAUAACCUACCGAAAGGUGGGCUAAUACCCGAUGUAGUCAUCCUGUAAUAGGGGUGAUGAAAGGUGGGCUUCUGUUUACAAGCUCAUGCUGGAGGAGGGGGCUGCGGCCUAUCAGGUAGUUGGUAGGGUAAUAGCCUACCAAGCCGAUGACGGGUAGCCGGCCUGAGAGGGUGACCGGCCCGAGGGGCACUGAGAUACGGGUCCCACUCCUACGGGAGGCAGCAGGCUAGAAAUUUGGGCAAUGGGGGAAACCCUGACCCAGUGACGCCGCGUGCAGGAAGGAGCCCUUCGGGGUGUAAACUGCUGUCGUGUAGGGAGAAGGGUACUAAGGUGAACAAUCUUAGUACUUGACGGUACUACAGGAGGAAGCCCAGGCUAACCUCGUGCCAGCAGCCGCGGUAAAAUAGCGUACUCUAAGA